rnacentral:rRNA from 1 species
AGCGAACGCUGGCGGCAGGUCUAACACAUGCAAGUCGAACGGAUCCUUCGGGAUUAGUGGCGGACGGGUGAGUAACACGUGGGAACGUGCCCUUUGGUUCGGAACAACUCAGGGAAACUUGAGCUAAUACCGGAUGUGCCCUUCGGGGGAAAGAUUUAUCGCCAUUGGAGCGGCCCGCGUCUGAUUAGCUAGUUGGUGAGGUAACGGCCCACCAAGGCGACGAUCAGUAGCUGGUCUGAGAGGAUGAUCAGCCACACUGGGACUGAGACACGGCCCAGACUCCUACGGGAGGCAGCAGUGGGGAAUCUUGCGCAAUGGGCGAAAGCCUGACGCAGCCAUGCCGCGUGAAUGAUGAAGGUCUUAGGAUUGUAAAAUUCUUUCAGCGGGGACGAUAAUGACGGUACCCGCAGAAGAAGCUCCGGCUAACUUCGUG